GCGGCCACGCCGCCCCCAAACGGUCACCCGUUACGUACGCUUCGCUGCGCCGCGCACAUCGGACCCCUCGCCGUCGAGCACGGCCACCGCCCCGACUGACCGAUCCGGCAGGCGGAGGGCGCGGCAUGGCCUCCCCCAACCCCGACGCCGCGGGGCUGCAGUCCGUGGCCGCGGCGGGGGCAGGGGAGGGCUCGUCCUCGUCGUUCGGCGCCGUCGCGGGGGCGAUCGUCACGGCGGGGGAGCAGGCGCCCAGGAGGGCCCUCGCCGUGCGGAAGGAGCGCGUGUGCACGGCCAAGGAGCGCAUCAGCCGCAUGCCGCCCUGCGCCGCCGGGAAGCGGAGCUCCAUCUACCGCGGGGUCACCCGGCAUAGGUGGACUGGUCGAUAUGAGGCUCACCUCUGGGACAAAAGCACGUGGAACCAGAAUCAGAACAAAAAGGGGAAACAAGUAUAUUUAGGUGCAUAUGAUGAUGAAGAGGCUGCAGCAAGGGCCUAUGACCUUGCUGCAUUAAAAUACUGGGGAGCUGGAACGCAAAUUAAUUUUCCAGUCUCCGACUAUGCAAGAGACCUUGAAGAAAUGCAGAUGAUCUCCAAGGAGGAUUAUCUCGUGUCUCUUAGGAGAAAGAGCAGUGCCUUCUCCAGGGGGUUGCCAAAAUAUCGUGGGCUUCCUAGGUAUGUGUCAGCAAUGGAGAUCCUAUCCAUGCAACUGCAUAAUUCCAGAUGGGAUACGCCUUUGGGACAUUUACUUGGGAAUGACUACUUGAACCUUAGUUGUGGUAAGGAUAUCAUGUUGGAUGGAAAAUUUGCUGGAAGCUUUGCCUUGGAGAGAAAAAUUGAUCUUACAAAUUACAUUCGGUGGUGGCUACCCAGGAAGACAAGGCAGUCAGAUACAUCAAAAGCAGAAGAGAUUGCUGAUGAAGUCCGGGCUAUUGAAAGUUCAAUGCAACAGACCGAACCAUAUAAGCUGCCCUCUCUUGGCCUCUGUUCUCCUUCAAAGCCCUCUUCAGCAGGCUUAUCAGCAUGUAGUAUAUUAUCUCAGUCUGAUGCCUUCAAAAGCUUCAUGGAGAGGUCUACAAAAUUAUCUGAAGAAUGUACCCUCAGCAAGGAAAUUGUUGAAGGAAAGGCUGUUGCCUCAGUACCUGCUACUGGACAUGAUACAGCAGCAGCUAAUAUUAACAUGAAUGAGCUGCUAGUGCAAAGAGCUACUUACUCAAUGGCCCCUGUUAUGCCAACACCAAUGAAGAGUACCUGGAGCCCAGCCGAUCCUCCUGUUGACCCACUUUUUUGGAGCAACUUUGUCUUGCCAUCUAGUCAACCUGUUACAAUGGCGACAAUAACAACAACAAAAACGUUUGCAAAGAAUGAGGUAAGUUCAAGUGAUCCAUUCCAGAGCCAAGAAUGACCGCACAUGAUUACUGCAGCAGGAUAUGUUGGACUGGUCAAUGGCAACAUUCUGUGCUUCAGCUGGAUUCCUUUUGCCCAGCUUUUGAUGUCAACUUGUGAGCAAUACUCCUUGUGUAUCCAUACUUCAUAGGACAUGAAUAGAAGCACUGCUUUGGGGAGGGACUGAGGACCAAACGUGCACUUGGUUGGAAUUGAAAGCAAUGCUAAGUUGGAUUUAAAACAUGGAGCAAGGUUUCAGCUCGGGCUGAGUAAUAUUUAAAAAGAGUUAAGUUGGAUUCAUGCCGUUGUAAUUUGCACAGUUUUGAAAAAGAUACCGCUACUAUUUGAUAUUUGGAACCAUGACAUUAUAAUUUCAGCUUU